AAGGAUUUAAGUUAAGAAAACUUUUAGCCUUCAAAGCUAAUAAUAAAGGCAAAGUCUUUAAGCCUUA
rnacentral:tRNA from 1 species